rnacentral:ncRNA from 2 species
ACCGAUGUUCUAAAAUACAUUAGUGGAAGUAAAGCUGGGAAUGUGGUGAAAAUCCACAACUGUACCCGCAACUGUAAACAGAGCGAUAUAUUAACCACUAAGUCCAUUUUAAUUAAAAUGAUUUGGGAAGGGAUGUAUCUAGAUGCUGUAAGUCAGGAUACCAGGUGAAUACUGUACAUUAAU